AGCAGCCGCGGUAAUUCCAGCUCCAAUAGCGUAUAUUAAAGUUGUUGCAGUUAAAAAGCUCGUAGUUGAAUUUCGGGAUUGGCGCAUCGGUCGUGCCUCACGGGGUAUGAACUGGUGCAGUCAAUUUCUCACCUUCUGGAGAACCGCGAUGUCCUUAAUUGGGUGCCGCGGGGAACCAGGACCUUUACUUUGAAAAAUUGAGUGUUUAAAGCAGGCAUUUUUGCUUGAAUACAUUAGCAUGGAAUAAUAAAAUAGGACGGCAUGGUUCUAUUUUGUUGGUUUCUAGGACCACCGUAAUGAUUAAUAGGGAUAGUUGGGGGCAUUAGUAUUCAAUUGUCAGAGGUGAAAUUCUUGGAUUUAUUGAAGACUAACUACUGCGAAAGCAUUUGCCAAGGAUGUUUUCAUUAAUCAAGAACGAAAGUUAGGGGAUCGAAGACAAUCAGAUACCGUCGUAGUCUUAACCAUAAACUAUGCCGACUAGGAAUCAGACGAUGUUAAUUUUUAAUGUACUUCGUUUGGC
rnacentral:rRNA from 1 species